UACGUAGGGGGCAAGCGUUGUCCGGAAUUAUUGGGCGUAAAGCGCGCGCAGGCGGUCUUUUAAGUCUGGUGUUUAAGCCCGGGGCUCAACCCCGGUUCGCAUCUGGAAACUGGAAGACUUGAGUGCAGGAGAGGAAAGUGGAAUUCCACGUGUAGCGGUGAAAUGCGUAGAGAUGUGGAGGAACACCAGUGGCGAAGGCGACUUUCUGGACUGUAACUGACGCUGAGGCGCGAAAGCGUGGGGAGCAAACAGG
rnacentral:rRNA from 1 species